rnacentral:lncRNA from 1 species
GGCGGGGCCGCCGGAUCCAGGGACAAUGGGGUGGGGCGGGCUUUCCCUGGGUGGGCGCAGCGGCUUCCUGGGUCCCCCUCACGCUCUGGGUCAGAGUUCCUUUACAGGCGGACCUGAGAGGCAACUCACCGACUCCUGCCCUGGACCCUCCUGCGCCACUGAACCCCCUGACCUGGGAGCCUCGGAACCUAGGGCUCAGGAGAUGAACCAGGACUUAUCCGAAGGUACCAAGUGAACUUCUAGGAAAAGUCCAAUUCUCAGAUGCUGGAUGUCUUCCAAAAAUGAAGCAAAUUAGUAACUUAGUAGCUGAGUCAACUAAUCCUGUUAGAUGGUCAACACUGGUUUUUUUAUUUUAAUAUUUUUAAGUGGCAACUCUAGUGUGUGAGAAAAUUAAUGUGACAGCUGAAUUUGUAGAAAGCUGCUUUGACUCUCUUGGGCCCCUUCAUAAGCCCUGGAACUAAAUAAAAGUCUAGUGAAUACAGACUUUAAAGCCGGAAAAUGUACUGACCUUGGGAAUAGCAAGAGAAAGUACUUCCUUUCCCUCUCCUGACACCAAGUGAUCCCAUCCCUGUGUUUAGGCCUAGUCCAACCUUCUAAGCUGUGCGUCGCUUCCAUGCUUUGGAGCAUUUUACAUAUAUUUACCCACUUCAUCCUCAAGACAAUACCAUUAAGUAUGCACGAUCAUCAACUCCAUUCUACAAAUGAAGAAACCGGCACAGUGAAGACCAAGGAAUGACCACAUGAGAACACAGCAAGAAGGCAUCCACCUGCACGCCAGGAAGAGAGCCCUCACCUGCAACUGAAUUGGCUGACUUCUUGAUCUUGGACUUCCAGCCUCCAGAACUAAUGAUGUUGCAGCAUGUUCCCUUACAUUACAACAAUCUCUGGCCUUUUUUCUGAGUCAAGGUCAAGGUCUGCUGGAAUUUGCUGGAGGUCCAUUCCAGACCCUGUUUGCCUGAGUAUCACCAGUGGAGUCUGCAGAACAGUAAGAUUGCUGCCUGUUCCUUCCUCUGGAAGCUUUGUCCCAGAGCGGCACCUGCCAGAUGCCAGCAAGAGUUCUCCUGUAUGAGGUGUCUGUUGGCCCCUACUGGGAGGCGUCUCCCAGUCAGGACACAUGAGUGUCUGGGACCCACUUGAGGAAGCAGCCUGUCCCUUAUCAGAGCUUGAAUGCUGUGCUGGGAGAUCCACUGCUCUCUUAAGAGCUGUGAGGCAGGGAUGUUUAAGUCUGCUGAAGUUGUGACCACAGUCACCCCCAGGGAGAUGGGGGUUUUAUCUAUAAGUCCCUGGCUGGUGCCUUUUUAAUCAGAGAUGCCCUGCCUAGAGAGGCAGACUGGCCUCAGCAGCCUUGCUGGGCUGUGGGGGGCUCCAUCCAGUUCAAACUUCCCUGCAGCUUUGUUUAUACUGUGAAGGUAAAACUGCCUACUCAAACCUCAGCAAUGGCAUACGCCCCUCCCCCACCAAGCUUGAGCAUCCCAGGUGGACCUCAGACUGCUGUGCUGGCAGCAAGAAUUUCAAGCCAGUGGAUCUUAGCUUGCUGGGCUCCAUAAGGGUGGGACCCACCAAGCCAGGCACCGGAGGGAAUCUCCUGGUCUGCUGGUUGUAAAGACCAUGGGAAAAUUGCAGUAUCUGGGCAGGAGUUCACUGUUCCUCCCAGUACAGUCUCUCAUGGCUUCCCUUGGCUCGGAACAGGAAAUCCCCUGACCCCUUGUGCUUCCUGGGUGAGGUAAUGCCCCACCCUGCUUCAGCUCACUCUCCAUGGGCUGAACCCACUGUCCAAUCAGUCCCAAUGAGAUGAACUGGGUACCUCAGUUGGAAAUGCAGAAAUCACCUGCCUUCUGCACUGAUCUCACUGGGAGCUGCAGACUGGAGCUGUUCCUAUUCACCCAUCUUGCCAACAAGUUCCUAGGACUGUCAUCUUUUAUAGAAAAAAAUGCCUUCAGACAGAUUGGUUCUGUGACUGUUUAUAAGUUUAUAUUCUAGCCCCAUAGACAAAUUUUUCAAAAAAGAUCCCAACUGUAAUAACAUUUCUCCCAAGGAGUGAUUAAAAACCAAAUCUGAAUGGACACUACUGUCUUACUAAUGGGCUGUGGAAAAUGCAAUAAUGAUGCUUGUGAAAUUAUUAGAUUCAGGAAUAAUGUAUUAUUCUAGAAUUGUGCUAAUUCAUUUCCCACUUCUGAUCAUUUGAAGUUUACUUCUCUCUCAUUGAAAAGGAUUAAUGAUAUGUUUAUUAAAUAAAGACUAAUUUUAUUUUAUGUUUUUUGUGUUUUUUUUUUUGAGAUGGAGUCUCGCUGUCACCCAGGCUAGAGUGCAGUGGCGCGAUCUUGGCUCACUGCAGGAUCCGCCCCACGGGGUUCAAGCCAUUCUCCUGCCUCAGCCUCCCGCAUAGCUGGGACUACAGAUGCCCGCCACCUCGCCUGGCUAAUUUUUUGUAUUUUAGUAGAGACGGGGUUUCACCGUGUUAGCCAGGAUGGUCUCGAUCUCCUGAUCUCAUGAUCCACCUGCCUCCACCUCCCAAAGUGCUAGAUUACAGGCGUGAGCCACUGUGCUCGGCCCAAAAAAGACUAAUUUUAAAAGAGCUUUGCUGGCUCGACUUUAUGUAAAAAUAGCAUGAAAGAAAAGGAG